rnacentral:tRNA from 2 species
GCUCUUGAAGUUCAAAGGAUGAACAACGCUCUCCUAAAGCGCAGGUUGCUGGUUCGAAUCCAGUCAGGAGCAC